AUUAGUUGUUUGGAAGCUGCUAACUUUCGAUAUAGCGAUAGCUACUGUAAUA
rnacentral:tRNA from 1 species